UACGAAGGGAGCUAGCGUUGUUCGGAAUUACUGGGCGUAAAGGGCGCGUAGGCGGUUCGACAAGUUGGAUGUGAAAGCCCAGGGCUCAACCCUGGAAUUGCAUUCAAGACUGUCUUACUUGAAUUCGGUAGAGGUGAGUGGAAUUCCCAGUGUAGAGGUGAAAUUCGUAGAGAUUGGGAGGAACACCGGUGGCGAAGGCGGCGAUCUGGGUCGAUACUGACGCUGAGGUGCGAAAGCGUGGGGAGCAAACAGG
rnacentral:rRNA from 1 species